UCCAGUACUUGUACAGUCCUCGCUGGUCUUCCUGUUCUGCUCAGCACAAUGCUACAGAAGCAGCCUCGGUUCAUCUCCUUCCUCUGUCAGCAACGCACCCACCGCUUCAAACCCCCCCUCCCUCUGAGCGCUACUUGGUACCUGUCCAACUUUGCUACACACUCCUGUGCAGCAGGGGGCUCAAGCAUAGAGAGCUCGAUACAGGGCAAGGACACAGACAGCCGGGGAGGAAGUCUGUGCAAGAACAUGUAGAUUCCACCAGCACACAGAUUCACUGCGCAUUACCACUGGCAUUUUGCAUCACUGCAUGUUAUGUGUUUGUGGAUUUUAAGUCAUCAAGCCUGCAAUCCAGAUUUAACCUGCACCACACAGCUUAACCAUAUGAUAUAUUUCACUGAUAUACCAGCCAGGCGCAGUGGCAUCAUAGAUGAAGUGCUGGACUCUAAAACCAGAAAGGCUAAGGGAUAAACACACAAGCAGAAUAGGGAUGUUGUACGUUGGUACAUUAAUUGAGAGUACAGCAGCAAAGCCCUUUCUGAAACUUUUGACACAAAGUCCAUCUGAAGGAGCUCAGACGUCCAAAGCAGGUAGCUGCAGUCGGACCUGUAACAUUGUGGUGUCAGGUAAUGUGCUCUGCUACACCACUCUGAGGAAGCAAAGUCUUGCAAGUGGACUCUCCCCCCUCGCUUCUGGUUCACGACCCACUGCUGACUCAGGGCCGAGGGGAGCGGGGGGGGUCUGGGAGAGGGGAUCUGGUGAGAUUCAUAGGCUGAACUGCUUUCACUGAGGGGAAAAAAGGCACAUGCACUCACACACGCUGCGCAAAUAACAAUAUGGCGCGCGACAUGCUGCUGUUAGCCUAGGACCUGCCAAGGCGUUGAAACUGCAUCGUUUGCAUUAAAAAUAUGAAUUAUUCCACUGUUUGGACGCUUCCUGCGGAUUUCAUCCCGCUCCCAUCUGUUCAGCUUUUCGCAGCCACGACAACUUGCCAGCGCGCUCUCCCUCGGAGCCCGCUGACGGGGCUUCCGGUUAACCAUCCUGUUUACGCGCGAGUCCCCGCUCGAGCGUAUGUCCCUGUCGGCGCGUACCUCCGCGUGGGCAUGCGCGUGCUGUCCUGCUCGCGCGCGCACCGCAGCGUCCGUGCCCUCCCUGAAGGAAAAUAACCUCGGUGGAUUCUUGCGAGCUCCAGGACAGCCCAGGUCCAGGAAGGUCAUCGUUGUACUUUCGUGUCCUUACCCUGAAUUCCUCCACUUUAUAUAUUUAGCUCUAUAAACGGGUACAAACCAGUAAGUCGCUUAGCAUAAAAGCUUGGAUUAGGAAUCUUUCAAUCACGGAGAAGAAGAAAAAUGGUGAUGCCAGAAGAACCUCGGACAGACUCUCACUUAAGCAGUUUUAAGAUUUAAAAGCCGCAAGAUGCUCGGACUUUGCAGCAAAGGCGUUUCAUAACCGGCGUGCUGUGACAAGCAGGGCGGGCACAAGCUGAACUGGAGCCAGCAGCUGUGAGGGAACGUGCAGGCUCCUCUCUGAAGCGACAAACGGCCGAGUAAGCAUGACAGGCCAGACAUCAGGAAGGAGUGUCAUCACCCACCCCUCCAAGCCUGCCUGCCUGAACCCCCCUGCGGUCUGCUACAGAAACCGUGAUGGAUGUGGCCGAAUGGAACGCUGCAGACGGAGAGCAGAGGAGGUGCUGCUCCCCGCUGAUCAGCAAAUAGAGCGAAAUGCUUCACCAGAGAAUGGAUGCAGUGUGUCUGUCAGUACAGCGAGAGCCAGGCGUGGGACAGAGGGCCCUGGAGGCAACUCUUUGGAUGAGACCCAGCCGUGUCACCUGACGGGCCACAUCAUAUCACCUGAUGGCCAUUAUCAUGAUACCCUAUGGCCCUCCUCAUGUCACCUGACAGCUCUCCUCGUCACAUGACAGCUCUUCUUAUGUCACCUGACAGUCUUCCCAUUAUCACCACAUGACCCUUCUACCACUGAAACUAGAAGGCUCAUCUCAGAAAAGUACAACAAAUGUUGAGUGAAGCAGGGCUACAGCAGGGCUGAUCAUCAGGUCACCACAGCAGUGAAUAAUAGCAGCAUUCUGACCAAGUUCCACCCUGGCCCAGAGUGCUGCCACCUAUAGUUGAGGUAGCAUCACAACAACAUUAGACUUAGUGGACAGCAACUUAUUCCUGUUGGCCUUUUGAUGGGAAAUCACAUUUGUCAUCUAGAUGAAUCAUUUUACUGCAGUCAGCGUGGGGUUUCUAAGGUUUACCCACAAGCAUCAGGAGAGCAGGCAAGCUCUUGUUGAAGGUAACACACAACUAACAAAACACAAUUAACUGAACACAAUGUCGGAGACCUGCAAGAGCUCUCAGACAUCACAAACAGACACCCCCAGGAAGUAACAAACAGAAAACGUGGGAGGACCAGGAGCCCGAGUCGUAUGCGCAGUCUUGGUCAAACCUGCACACCCAGACCAUUUCUGCCUGCCUCUUCCUGCUUUUCCUUUAAUGUGCUUUUGAGGUUUGCUCAAGUCUGGGAUUCUUGUUACGUGUCUGCAUCUUCACUUUGGCCAUUUGGAAGCGGGCAGAUGGUGAAGAAGACAGCGCACACACAGACACACACACUCAUAUAUAUACACACACACACAGGCACACCAGAGACCAUCGCCCCUUCAAGGUUCAUCAAUGACAGUCUCUGAGGGUGGUCACCGUCUGUCUGUCCCAGGGGAAGUCAGCUGACUUUUUUUUGUCCUCCAGUACAUACAAACACGAGUGCGUUUACCCCUCCCCACACCCGGAAGGGUAGUGCGCCAGUCCCGUUUGCCUGGGCUGCGAAAGUCCAGUUCAUCUCGUCUCCGCCAAAACAGCACCUCUUUUUCGUUUCUCUUUCUCCUGGAGACUGCUUUGUCUUUCCUUUUUUCACUGCAUAGUCCCCCCUCCCGGCUCCGAAAACAUCAGUAAUAAAAUCCGGAUCCUCUUUUUUUGACUUCCUGGUUCAUCUGGUUCUGUCUCUGGAUCAGCAUUCCCACAUACCCCCUUCUCUUAUCCCCUCAAUCCUACUGACCAAACUCCACCCCCCUUCCUUAAUGCUCAGCGUAACCUUCAAACGCUAAACAACAGUGACAGCACGUCCAAGGAGUGCUGGGUAACAUACGAGAACUCGAUAAAUCACAUUCCCAAUAGUCGAAAGACACCUUACAGUCCUGUCAGCUCUGCCCCAAAGAGCACAAGGCCUUUGUCACCAUGGUGAUGGGAACGGGGGUGUCCAGAUUGCUGGCCUGGGGAGGGGUGGGUGUCAGACUGCCCCCACCCAAGCUUCAGAGUGGCAGAGGCCAUUACAGUACCGCUCAUUGCUGAGGCAAGCAGGGCCUGUUUUCACAGUCCGCCAGCCCGUUCCACUUCCUGUCAGUUUGGCCUCUUCGUAGUUUGUCCCCGUUUCCGAACACUUUUGUGCUCUUAAUGUAGUUGAGUCCACAACUUGUUUUAUGGAAAUGUUCCUCCCGCAGAGCAAAACAGGAAUGGAUAUUUAUAUUUACACACACACACACACACACACACACAUACAUAUAUAUCAAUCCUUAUGUGUUAAUGUAUGUCAAAUCAUAUUUUUCUACAUGAAUAAUUAAUAUUUCCCCCUGUCAUACAUACAGUACAUGCACUAAACCACUCCCCUGCCCCCACCAUCUCAUUGUACCCAAGAUGAUCGUCAUCCAACAUUAACCUCAAAGGACAAAAACUUAGGGUUGGAAGCAAUGAAACACACUCUCAUUUAAAAUAAUUCUCCUGAAUACGCCAAGAAACAUAAAGCUUCAGUUAUAGAGAGAAACUUCCAGACAAUUCUAGAAAAUACAUACAUAAUUAAACUGGAAAAACAACAGAAGGUCUAAAGAACCAGCCAGCUGUUCACAGGAUCCUGUGUACCUCCACUAUCCACUUCUGCUGCCUGUUCCCUACAGCUCGCUGAAUUACCCAACAACCAGACCAUAAACACUUUGAGACCUGGACACUGACAGUAACUAUAUUCUGUAAGAAUUCAGAGCAGGGUCAGCAAAGUGGAGGCAAAUCAUUAAAACAAAGGCUGGGUGUCACGCAAGCUGUUAAACAGGACGGCAGGCUGGCUGGACCUCAGGGCUGGUAUCAGGACCACACUGACACGCCCAUCAGACUGGAACCAGGGACAGCUGCAGCCGGUUAACACGCACAACCCCAGGUACACACACAACCUUACAGCCUGACUCACAGUCCAUACACCAGCAUGUCAUUCUAGGAUUUUUGGUAUUUUCACAAAGAAACACCAUCAAGCACUGAGUGGUAAAAACAGACACUAACAAUUUUAUGCAAGUAUUUCCCACCCAGUUUUGGGUAGUUUCAGUGUCCUUAGUUAAUUCUGAUUCUCCAGUGACCUUGUACUUUUGAGUGCAGUUGUUUUGGUCUGUUUUUUCUCUGAUUUAUAUCACACUAAUUUGUGCAAUUUAACCACAGUCAGACAUAUUUUUAAUAUUUUCACAAAUACUCACGCACAAUGUUACACUGUACAAAUGUACAAGCACAGCAUUGCAAAAAAACUUUAAUGAAAUCGCACCAGCAGCCAGCGUUGCCACCUGUCCUGUGUUGUACAGGAUCGCUCCUUGCAGAAAAAUAAAAUGCUGUGUCCUUUUUCAAAGUAAUACGAGGCAUGUUUUUCCGUAUUUUGAAAAUGCCACCACACCCAGCUCGACACAUAUUACCUUUGAUUGAAAGCGGGGCCUUCCCUACGAGUCUCCAUCAGAAUUUUAAUGACAACCUUACACUGAUAAAAUGGCUCGAAGUUUAAUUGAUGGCUGACACCUUUAAUUAACAAUCAGGGGAGACCAGGGACAAUUUGUCAACAAUUUGUUGGUUGAGCAGUAGUUGGACAGACAUACUUCAGCAACCCAACCGUACAUCCCGCCACCUCUGCUAGCUAAAGGCUGCUAGAAACAACUCUGCCACUUAUGAAACACAUCAUACUAAAAGUACGUAGAUUAAUGACCAAAAACAUACCAGAUUCAAUUCAACAAUUGUCCUGGGUCACCCCUAAUGUUCUUCCCCCCCCCCGCCGGGAUUUUAAACAGCAGUGAUGGGAGACGGGCAGACACAAAAGGUGGGCGCUUAACUGUGGCAAAUGAAAUCGAGAGUCUAGGAAACAACGGAGGAAACAUGAAAUCCCCUCAGAGUGACUGUUUAGGUGGGUGCAUCCUCACCGAUAAUUAGGCCACGUGACGCCUCAGACGGAAAAAAAUGAAAACGGUAGCUCUCCACGAAAUUCCCUCUUGAUAAUGCUUAAUGUGCUUUACGCCAAACUGGCAGAGAUAAAAGGACAUGAAAAAAG